GAAUACGGAGUGGAGUGUUGGGUUGAGUGUCUACGGUGACCGAGUGUUAGCUCUGUAAAAUGGCUGAUAGAGAAGGUGGAGAGGACAACCCGCAGCCGGGCCAGCCAAGUUAUGAAGUCCCACAAUCCGACAUGCCUGGAUUCAUGGGAGAUGAGGAGGAGGGUAAGUGUUGAGUGUGUUGUGCUGCCUAAGGUUCUACUCUGAGGUGAUGGGUAGGUAUGUGUGUCUGUGUGUGUGUUCCUCGCGCCUCUACACAGCACAGCACAGCACAUGACGGGAGGUGCUGUGACAGUUAGGUAGGUAUGUAUGUCUAGUGCUGUAAUAAUUGGUGUUCCUCGCCUCACAGCACAGCACCAUCAUUGACGUUAGUAUAUGUCCCAUUAAACACAGUACUAAUGGUGUUGGGUUAAGUGCGUAUUGUAUGGCUGUGUUGACAUUAUUAUAAUAUGAAUAAUAACGUUACCCUAUAAUUGUUGUUGUUGUUGGUCAUGUGGCGUGACGGCGUCGGAGUUGUUGUUGGUCAUGUGGUGUGACGGCGUCGGAGUUGUUGUUAGUCAUGUGGUGUGACGGCGUCGGAGUUGUUGUUGGUCAUGUGGUGUGACGGCGUCGGAGUUGUUGUUUG